UACAGAGGUCUCAAGCGUUGUUCGGAUUCAUUGGGCGUAAAGGGUGCGUAGGCGGCGCGGUAAGUCGGGUGUGAAAUUUCGGAGCUUAACUCCGAAACUGCAUUCGAUACUGCGGUGCUUGAGGACUGGAGAGGAGAUUGGAAUUUACGGUGUAGCAGUGAAAUGCGUAGAUAUCGUAAGGAAGACCAGUGGCGAAGGCGAAUCUCUGGACAGUUACUGACACUGAGGCACGAAGGCCAGGGGAGCAAACGGG
rnacentral:rRNA from 1 species